rnacentral:misc_RNA from 1 species
GAUGAAGAACGCAGCGAAAUGCGAUACGUAAUGUGAAUUGCAGAGUUCAGUGAAUCAUCGAAUCUUUGAACGCAUAUUGCGCUCUCUGGUAUUCCGGAGAGCAUGCUUGUUUGAGUAUCAGUAAACACCUCAACUUCCAUAUCUUUUUUGAAAUGGGAGUUGGACUUGAGUGAUCCCAACGCUUUUCCUCACCGAAAAGUGGCGGGUUACUUGAAAUGCAGGUGCAGCUGGACUUUUCUCUGAGCUAUAAGCAUAUCUAUUUAGUCUGCCUAAAAAACAGAUUAUUACCUUUGCUGCAGCUAACAUAAAGGAGAUUAGUUCUUGUGCUGACUGAUGCAGGAUUCACAAAGACGGCUUCGGCCGACUUUGUAAACUCGAUCUCAAAUCAAGUAAGACUACCCGCUGAACUUAAGCAUAUCAAUAAGCGGAGGA